rnacentral:lncRNA from 1 species
CUGUGGAACCAUGAGGCAAAUAAACCUUCUUCCUUUAUAAAUCACCCAGCCUCAGUAUUUAUCAAUUUGUCUAUAAUAUAGCAAGAAAUUGAUACACCUUUGUUGAACUGAGCAAAAUGAAAGCACUAUAUUUACCAUGAAGUCUUUGGAAACAGGUUUACAAGAUUAUGCUAUGAGAAGACCCAGAAGUGAACAGACCUGGGACACUACAAAUUCGCUGGUCACUGGACAUUACAAGAAAAACCUGGUUCUCAUCCUUAAUCAUUGUGUUCAUCACUUAAGUCACUCAUAAGCAGUGGCAAUUUUUGACACUUUCCACUCUUGUCAAGUCUUCAAUAUAUUUUUUCUCCUUGCCUAUGCCUCAUUUGAAGCAGAAGACCUUAGAAUAUCCUUCAAUGACAACGAUAACAACAAUGUCAAUUUUAACAUCUAUCCAUUGAGUGCUGCGCACAUUCCAGAUGCUGUGCUAGUACGUCACAUCGAUGAUUGGAUUUAGUCUUAGAAAUCCUUCAAGAUAGUAUAUACUAUUCUUAUUUGAGAAAAGAGGAAUCCAGUCCUCAGAGAUUUUGAAGUUAAUUGCUUAUAGUCCCACACGGACUAAGUCGUAGUACCAAAAUACAAAUCCAGCUACUUAAGCCUCAAACUUUUUUCCUUUCCAUAUGCUGGCAGCUCUAAGUGUGCCCACUAUCCAUCCCAUAAUCACUCUGUUUCCAUAUCCAUUCUCUAAUCCCGCCUCCAGAAUCAAAGGAAAUCUAUUUUUUAAAAAGUCAGUGAUACUAACCUUUCCAACCAUACAAGUGAUUUUUUAACAUAGCACCCUUUAUGUAAUAUUCAAUAUUUUAGGGGACACUUUUCUCAGAAUUUGCUUUCAACAGAAAGUCACCAUGAUUUUCUAGAAAUUGUAUAAACUGGUGCUUUCUCUAUUAUCAGACUUUAACUUCUCAAUUGACAAUACCAAUCAUUCAUUCUUUAAAACUCUCUCCUGAAUACUUUCUUUCAUUUUGUUUUGUUUUGUUUUCCUUAAUACUUCCUAACCUAAUAUAGGUUAAAUGAAUAUAGGUUACAUUCCAAAUUCCCUCUUUUAAAUUACGGAUAUUCCUUAAAAUUCACUUCAUGCAAUUGUGCUCUUCUUUUCUCUUGCCCCCAAAGAGAAAGCUCAGUUAUUUUCCUGAUUUCAACUACGACCUCAAUUUAAAUGAUUUCCAAAUCUGCAUCUUUACACCUGUCAAAAUGAGAGCAUCUUAUCCUUGAAAGGGCUAUAAAAGAUUUCUUAGUUUCAAGUCCCUCCCAGGAAGGAAAUUCCCAGUACAGCUCUGAUAGUGAUCCAGCACCUAAUUAAAUACUCAUUGUAGCUGAGAAGUUGCUG